GGAAUUGUUCGCAAUGGGCGCAAGCCUGACGACGCAACGCCGCGUGGAGGAUGAAGAUCUUCGGGUCGUAAACUCCUGUCGAGCGGGAAGAAACCCACGAGGAUGAAUAAUCCUUGUGGCUGACGGUACCACUAAAGGAAGCCCCGGCUAACUCCGUGCCAGCAGCCGCGGUAAUACGGGGGGGGCAAGCGUUGUUCGGAAUUACUGGGCGUAAAGGGCUCGUAGGCGGCCAACUAAGUCGGACGUGAAAUCCCCAGGCUCAACCUGGGAACUGCGUCCGAUACUGGAUGGCUUGAAUUCGGGAGAGGGAUGCAGAAUUCCAGGUGUAGCGGUGAAAUGCGUAGAUAUCUGGAGGAAUACCGGUGGCGAAGGCGGCUACCUGGACAAAUACUGACGCUGAGGCGCGAAAGCGUGGGGAGCAAAC
rnacentral:rRNA from 1 species